rnacentral:rRNA from 1 species
CAGUCGCCGCGGUAAAACGUAGGUGGCAAGCGUUGUCCGGAAUUAUUGGGCGUAAAGGGCUCGCAGGCGGUUUCUUAAGUCUGAUGUGAAAGCCCCCGGCUCAACCGGGGAGGGUCAUUGGAAACUGGGAAACUUGAGUGCAGAAGAGGAGAGUGGAAUUCUACGUGUAGCGGUGAAAUGCGUAGAGAUGUGGAGGAACACCAGUGGCGAAGGCGACUCUCUGGUCUGUAACUGACGCUGAGGAGCGAAAGCGUGGGGAGCGAACAGGAUUAGAUACCCCGGUAGUCCCUGUCUCUUAUAA